rnacentral:lncRNA from 1 species
CAGCCUGACUCUUUGUGCUACGACCGGCUGCUUUCUGCAGACAGCUGCCCUGGAACUGGUCGGAUAACAUGCCAGAGACAUCAUAGUUCAUGCCACCCCAAACUGCAGUGCCGCCUGCCUGAGCCUGCCUGGACUCUUUGCAAGGGGUGGGCAGGCAAUCCCUGCAGCCAUGGUGGAUGCAUAUGACUGACAGUGUCCUGUGAUAUUCAAUUCCACAACUCCAGAGGAAACUACUGAUCAAGAGGCAUCCUCCUUCUGCUGGGGUUCCCUGAGCUGGUGACUUGGAAGCCAGGAGCUGCCGGAGGCCACCUGUGACACUGCAAAGGGACAAUCUGCCAAAGAGUGAAGCCAACACAGAGAAAAGCAGGGGAAAGAGGCAAGCAGUUUCCUAAAGACAUAUUUUGAGACCCCCGAAUCCAGCCACACUUGAAUAUAUUCCAGGUAAAUGAGCCAGUGUGAAUUUCCUUUCUGCUUAAACCAGUCUGACUCGGGUGCCUCUCACCCACAUCUGAAAGGCUCCAAGUCAAUACUGCCCCUCAUCACACUGAAUAACCAUCACUUGUUUCCUUGGCUGUUGUCCCAUUAGACCCAGGGCACUUGAGGGCAGGGCCUAGUUCAAAGCCAUCACGAUGUCUCAGUGCCUGAUUCCAACCAUCCUGGAUGAAUAUUUGCUGAAUGAAUAAAAACCCAAUCUGACUCAAUGUUCAUUUGUGAACUUAUUGGUAUAUGAGGCCCAAGAGAAGCCUGAAUUCUCUAGUCCAACCCACUCUUCCCC